rnacentral:lncRNA from 1 species
AGAAUAUUAUAUGAGGUAAUGUUAUAAUAUGGGGUGUGAGGAUAUUAUAUGAGGUAAUGUUAUGUUAUAAUAUGGAGUGUGAGGAUAUUAUAUGAGGUAAUGUUAUAAUAUGGGGUGUGAGGAUAUUAUAUGAGGUAAUGUUAUAAUAUGGGGUGUGAGGAUAUUAUAUGGGGUAAUGUUAUGUUAUAAUAUGGGGUGUGAUGAUAUUAUAUGAGGUAAUGUUAUAAUAUGGGGUGUGAGGAUAUUAUAUGAGGUAAUGUUAUGUUAUAAUAUGGGGUGUGAGGAUAUUAUAUGGGGUAAUGUUAUGUUAUAA